UACGAAGGGGGCUAGCGUUGUUCGGAAUUACGUGGGCGUAAAGGGCGCGUAGGCGGUGUGUCAAGUCAGGCGUGAAAGCCCCGGGCUCAACCUGGGAACCGCGCUUUGAGACUGGCACGCUCGAGUUCGGGAGAGGAUGGUGGAAUUCCCAGUGAUAGAGGUGAAAUUCGUAGAUAUUGGGAAGAACACCGAUGGCGAAGGCAGCCAUCUGGACCGACACUGACGCUGAGGCGCGAAAGCGUGGGGAGCAAACAGG
rnacentral:rRNA from 1 species